CCAUAAACGUGAUUUGGCAGACAAAUUAAUCACUAGAAGAACUUGCAAUUUGGAGUUGCACUUCGAUAUUAACUAAUUGAACCUGAGACAAAUAAUCACUAGAGAACUUGCAAUUUGGAGUUGUGCUUCGAUUUUAAUUAAUUGAACCUGAGGUACUGAACCAAACUCAGUCAAAUGGCAGAGAUUGCUGUGGGCUUAGUCAUAGACAAGCUGAUUCCAUUGUUGACUGAAGAAGCAUACCUAUUGAGAGGUAUUCACAAAGAUGUUGAGAGAAUCAAGUGUGAUCUAGACUUUCUUCUCGCUUUCCUCAAGGAUGCAGACGCAAAAGCCUAUACAAAUCCAAACAACAACAUUAGCCACGGUGUUAAAGUAUGGGUGGAGAAGCUUCGAAAAGCAGCAUUUGAAGUGGAAGACGUUAUUGAUGAAUACACACAUCUGUUCAAGCAACAACAAAGUCAUUCUUAUAGCCAAAGAUUUAUUGCCUUUUUUCGUACAAGUGCAUGCUUGGUUAUCAAACUCACACCACACCAUAACAUGGCCUCUAAAAUAAAAGAUAUUAGACAAACAAUUCGAGAAAUAAAUCAAACAAGUGCAUCCUAUGGCUUCAAUUCGACAAUGCAAGAAGAGUCAUCAUCUCGUUCUCAAUCGAGUAGAUGGUAUGAUCCACGAAAAAAUUCAUGCUUCAUUAAGGAAAGGGAGCUUGUGGGCAUCGAAUCUUCUAGAGAUGAAUUGAUUAAAAAAGUUGUAGGUGGAUCUCCAAAGCGCACUGUGAUCUCUUUAGUAGGGAUGGGAGGACUUGGCAAGACUACUCUUGCCUAUCAAGUGUAUGUUCGUACACAAAGAAGUUUUGAUUGUCAUGCUUGGAUAGAAGUUUCUCAAUCAUACGAAAAGGUGGAGUUACUACAAAAGUUAGCGAAGAAAUUAUAUGACUCAAGAGAGGAGUCUAUUCCUAAUGGAUUUGAUGCAAUGGAUGAAUUCACAUUAACAACAAAGUUAAGGGAUUACUUACAAGAAAAAAACUAUCUUGUGAUUUUCGAUGAUGUUUGGGAGCAAACGUUUUGGGGUAAUAUACAAAAUAUUUUCCCUGAUGAUGGCCAAAAAAAUAGAAGAGUAGUUUUCACCACAAGAAAUGUUGAAGUUGCAAGGUUUUGUAAUGAAUCAUCAUAUGCCCAUAUCCAUCAACUACAACCUCUCCUUCCAGAGAAGUCAUGGGAACUUUUUUGCAGGAAAACUUUUCGCAAUGAACUUAAUGAUGGUUGUUGUCCCCCCCAUUUAGAAAAAUUAUCGCAUGAAAUUGUUGAAAGAUGUGAAGGAUUACCACUUGCUAUUGUCCUCAUUGCUGGCCUUCUAUCAACGACAAACAACACUAUUGAGGAAUGGAGAAAAAUGCUUACUACUAUUAGUUCAGAGCUGCAGAGCAAUCAACAUCUGGAAAGCAUAACAAAAAUUCUUCUUCUCAGUUACAAUGAUCUACCAUACUAUCUUAAGCCGUGCUUCUUAUAUUUGGGAUAUUUUCCCGAAGAUUACCCAAUGAGAUGUGGAAGAUUAAUUCGACAAUGGAUUGCUGAAGGCUUUGUGAAGUCAAGUAAGGGUAAAGCAUUAGAGGACAUUGCAGAAGACUACUUGAAAGAUUUAGUAAAUAGAAAUCUCGUUCAAGUGUUAGAGGUAGAUUUUGAUGGUAAAGCUAGAACAUGUCGAAUCCAUGAUCUUCUACGUGAGAUUGUGAUCAAUAAGAUGGAAGAUUUAAGUUUCUGUCAAGUUUUGUCAGCGAAAGGUUGCAGCUUCAAAGGAUCAUCUCGGCGCAUUUCCAUUGUCAACGGGUCUUAUGAAGUUAUUAAGAGUAAUACUAGUACAGAUUUUGAGGUGCGGUCUAUUUUUAUCUUUGAUAAAGGCGAAGUGCUUAAUCAUCGUGUAAGGGAAAUUAUCAUUAAUUUCAAGCUCUUAAAAGUUCUUGAUUUUGAAAAUGCUCCAAAUCUAAAUCACCUUCCCAAAGAUGUUGGAAUCCUAUUUCACUUAAAAUAUUUAAGUGUUCGGCACACAAGAGUUUCGUCUUUGCCUAAGUCAAUUGAGAAAUUAGAAAAUUUAGAGACCCUUGAUUUAAAACAUACUCUGGUUUUGGAGAUACCCAUUGAGAUCAAGAGGUUUCGAAAUUUGCGACACCUUUUAGCCUACCGUAUAGAUGGGAAUGAAAGAUUUGAUUAUCUAAAAGGAAUAAAAGUAGACAUGGGGAUUGGUCAAUUGAAAGCCUUGCAGAAGUUAAGCUUUAUUAAUGUCAAUGUUGAUGGAUUUGACUUAUUUGAAGAGCUGUGCAAGUUGACCGAGUUGAGAAAAUUGGGCAUCAAUAAGUUGAGAAGUGAAGAUGGAAAGAGAUUAUGUGACUGUAUUCAAAACAUGAAUCUCCUUGAAUCCCUUGAUAUAUCUUCAAUAAGCGAAGAUGAGACGAUUGAUUUGGAAUCCAUGUCUUGUCCCCCUCAAUUUCUUCGACAUCUCCACCUCUUAGGGCCUUUGAAGAACUUUGAUAAAUGGAUCGUGAAGCUUCAAAAUCUAAGUAGGAUAGGAAUUUAUAGGUCAAAGCUACAAAUUGAUCCGUUGAAUGUCCUUGGUGAUCUGCCCAAUCUUUUAGAACUCCGAAUAUGUAACGAUGGGUAUGAUGGCGAUAAAUUACAAUUUGAGAAAGAAAGUUUUCCAAAACUUAAGCUGCUCUUGCUGGAGUCCUUGGUCAACUUACGUUUGAUAGUAAUCGAGGAAGGAGCACUGUGUAAUCUUGAAGACCUCCACAUUGGGGGUUGCCCACAGCUAAAGCAGCUUCCCUCUGGAUUCCAAUGUUUAAGAAACCUUAAAAAACUUCAAUGGUUUGAACUGCCAAAAAUCCUCUUGAUGUCGCAAACUUUUCAGACCUUUCAUAGAGCUGGAGUAGACAUUCGACUGUAUUACCCAGUUGAUGGAAAAUUCUGGAUGUGUAGAAUGGAACAGAUUGUGGCAGUCAUAGAAUUUGUUCGAGAUCAAAUCAGCGAAGAUGAAUGGGAGUCAAAAUUGGAUGAAUUGUUCAUAUGGUUAAUUUCCCAAACUUUGUGAGACCAAAGAGCAUCAUUCCGGGCUAUCCAGAUGUGGUAAACCAGAGUAGCCAGGACCACAGUAUAUAUUUUCUUCCUCACCUUGCUAAUUUGCUUUGCUUUCUCAAGAAUCUUGAAUGGUCAUACGAAUCAACAGAGAAGAAGGAACACUGGCGUGAACUCCGAGGAACCCGAUCUGGGUGUUUCUUGAGGAAAAUAGACUUAGUGGCGGGAAAGGUUCUUGGUAGCUUGGAGAAUGUGUAUUGAGGUCGAAUGGAUUCAAGAGCCGAGCGUUACGAUUCGAGGAUGUAGUCUUGUUUUUAUGGUUUUACAUGUAUUUUUCCGCACUUGUUAUGUAAUCCCUUUUUAUUUUAAAUUAUGUUUUGUUUUGUUUUUAAAACAAUGGGAUCCCAUAUCCUAACCUAAAUUUUAUGUAAGUUCAACUCUUAUUUUUACAAGUUUCUUAAUAAAGUUAUGGUAUUUUCACU